GCUUGUCUCAAAGAUUAAGCCAUGCAUGUCUAAGUAUAAACAAAUCUAUACUGUGAAACUGCGAAUGGCUCAUUAUAUCAGUUAUAGUUUAUUUGAUGGUUCUUGCUACUUGGAUAACCGUAGUAAUUCUAGAGCUAAUACAUGCAUCAAACCCCGACUUUUUGGAAGGGGUGUAUUUAUUAGAUGGAAACCAAUGCGGGGCAACCCGGAUUAUGGUGAUUCAUAAUAACUUUCGGAUCGUUUACGAUGCAUCAUUCAAGUUUCUGCCCUAUCAGCUUUCGACGGUAGUGUAGUGGACUACCGUGGCGUUAACGGGUAACGGAGAAUUAGGGUUCGAUUCCGGAGAGGGAGCCUGAGAAACGGCUACCACAUCCAAGGAAGGCAGCAGG
rnacentral:rRNA from 1 species